rnacentral:rRNA from 1 species
CUUACAGUACCGUCACCAGGGUACACGUACCCCUUAUUCUUCCUGUAUAAAAGCAGUUUACAACCCGUAGGGCUGUCUUCCUGCACGCGGCAUGGCUGGAUCAGGCUUCCGCCCAUUGUCCAAUAUUCCUCAC